rnacentral:rRNA from 1 species
ACGGCUCAGUAACACGUGGACAACGUGCCCUAAAGUGGAGCAUAAUCUCGGGAAACUGAGGAUAAUUCUCCAUAGACCAUGAGAUCUGGAAUGACUUAUGGUUCAAAGUUCCGGCGCUUUAGGAUCGGUCUGCGGCCUAUCAGGUAGUAGUGGGUGUAACGUACCCCCUAGCCAGUUACGGGUAUGGGCCUUGAGAGAGGGAGCCCAGAGUUGGAUUCUGAGACACGAAUCCAGGCCCUACGGGGCGCAGCAGUCGCGAAAACUUCACAAUGGGCGAAAGCCCGAUGAGGGAAUUCCUAGUGCUAGCACAUUUGUGUUAGCUUUUCCUUAGCGUAGAUAACUUAAGGAAUAAGGGCUGGGUAAGACGGGUGCCAGCCGCCGCGGUAAUACCCGCAGCCCAAGUGGUGGUCGAUUUUAUUGAGUCUAAAACGUUCGUAGCCGGUUUGGUAAAUCCUUGGGUAAAUCGGGAGGCUCAACUUUCCGAAUUCCGAGGAGACUGCCAAACUUGGGACCGGGAGAGGCGAGAGGUACUUCUGGGGUAGGGGUAAAAUCCUGUAAUCCUAGAAGGACCACCGGUGGCGAAGGCGUCUCGCUAGAACGGAUCCGACGGUGAGGGACGAAGCCCUGGGUCGCAAACGGGAUUAGAUACCCCGGUAGUCCAGGGUGUAAACGCUGCAGACUUGGUGUUGGGGACCCUACGUGGGUGUUCAGUGCCGGAGAGAAGUUGUUAAGUCUGCUACUUGGGGAGUACGUCCGCAAGGAUGAAACUUAAAGGAAUUGGCGGGGGAGCAC